AUUGAACGCUGGCGGCAGGCCUAACACAUGCAAGUCGAGCGGAUGAAGGGAGCUUGCUCCUGGAUUCAGCGGCGGACGGGUGAGUAAUGUCUAGGAAUCUGCCUGGUAGUGGGGGAUAACGUCCGGAAACGGGCGCUAAUACCGCAUACGUCCUGAGGGAGAAAGUGGGGGAUCUUCGGACCUCACGCUAUCAGAUGAGCCUAGGUCGGAUUAGCUAGUUGGUGGGGUAAAGGCCUACCAAGGCGACGAUCCGUAACUGGUCUGAGAGGAUGAUCAGUCACACUGGAACUGAGACACGGUCCAGACUCCUACGGGAGGCAGCAGUGGGGAAUAUUGGACCAAGGGCGAAAGCCUGAUCCAGCCAUGCCGCGUGUGUGAAGAAGGUCUUCGGAUUGUAAAGCACUUUAAGUUGGGAGGAAGGGCAGUAAGUUAAUACCUUGCUGUUUUGACGUUACCAACAGAAUAAGCACCGGCUAACUUCGUG
rnacentral:rRNA from 1 species